rnacentral:misc_RNA from 1 species
GAUGAAGAACGUAGUGAAAUGCGAUACGUAAUGUGAAUUGCAGAAUUCAGUGAAUCAUCAAGUCUUUGAACGCACAUUGCGCCCCCUGGUAUUCCGGGGGGCAUGCCUGUCCGAGCGUCAUUGCUGCCCUCAAGCACGGCUUGUGUGUUGGGCCUCCGUCCUCCUCCCGGGGGACGGGCCCGAAAGGCAGCGGCGGCACCGCGUCCGGUCCUCGAGCGUAUGGGGCUUCGUCACCCGCUCUUGUAGGCCCGGCCGGCGCUUGCCGACACAUCAAUCUUUUUUCCAGGUUGACCUCGGAUCAGGUAGGGAUACCCGCUGAACUUAAGCAUAUCAAUAAGCGGAGGA